AUGGAAAUGAAUGAGCGCCGGGCUGCGUGGCGUGUCACCCGAUCCCCUUGCUCCCCCUCCCUGCCUGACACGUUGCAAGAGUGCUCGGCCAUGGCGCGGUGCCCAGGCAGCGGUUUCAAGAGGGGCCCUGGGCCUGGGAGCAGCUUGCAGGCCGCCAAACCCCUCCGGCAUGCUGUGCUCGGGGUCUCGGGCGGCUUGCUUCUCGCCCGCCGCAACGAGCCAGCAACCUUGGGCUGGUCACCGCUGCUAACACCCAGGGGACGGGCUUGGGGUGGAGCCCUCCUUUAUGCACCAGCAUGGGCCUCUGCUCUCCGCCUGCUCUGUGGGGUCUCGGUGGACACGCGUAUCCACCCCCCGGGUGCAGGGCAGUGGAUGGGGGCACCAUGGGUGCUCUGCUUUGCCCCCCAGGCACUGCACUGUGGGGCUGGCACCCUGCCGGCUGCAGGGGCUCCUUCACCCCGGAGCUGGGGGGCAGCUCCCUCAGACCCCACUGCCUUGGAGGAGGCCGACGGGCACUUCCCUGAGGCUGAGCCCCACUCCGAAGGGAUCAUCGCUGCCUCCUCUACCUCCCACCCCCCGUUUUCCGGUGCAUGCCGGAGAGCAGGAGGCUGCAGGGAACAGCUGCAGCGAGAGCUGCCUGGCAGCUGCCCACCCCCCUGGGCCCAGAGCCAUGCUCAGAGGGGGCUCUGUGCUGGCCCCCAGCGCUGGUGGGGUGGGGGGGGUCGGUCACCGUCUCACUCCCAGGCUGCGGACACGGCCCCCACCCCCCAGGCCAUCCUCCACCACACACCCGCCCACAGCAGAGACAUGCGGCAGGGCGCGGCCAACUGCAUCCUGCAUGCUCCCUGCAAGGCCCCAGAGACUGACCACUGCGCAGCCUGGCCCCUUAUCGGUGCCCUGCAGUGGGUCACCUCCGCUCCCCAGCACUUGAGAGGGUGCCCCCCCACUGUCAGGGGCCUGCUGCUUGGAGCCAGCCCCUCUCUUCCCCCAGGGCGGAUGGCAUGGCGGCUUGGGGCAACAAGUGUGGGGUGGCAAUGA
rnacentral:lncRNA from 1 species